AGAUACACGCCUUGUCAAUGCCCAAUCUCGUCUGAUCUCUGCAGCUAAGCGGGGUUGAGCCUGGUUCGUGCUGGAUGCGAGACGUCUGGGAAUACCGGGUGUCUC
rnacentral:rRNA from 1 species